UACGUAGGGGGCAAGCGUUGUCCGGAUUUAUUGGGCGUAAAGAGCGUGUAGGCGGUUUGGUAGGUCCGUUGUGAAAACUCGAGGCUCAACCUCGAGACGCCGAUGGAAACCAUCAGACUAGAGUCCGGAAGAGGAGAGUGGAAUUCCUGGUGUAGCGGUGAAAUGCGCAGAUAUCAGGAAGAACACCCGUGGCUAAGGCGGCUCUCUAGUACGGUACUGACGCUGAGACGCGAAAGCUAGGGGAGCGAAUGGG
rnacentral:rRNA from 1 species